rnacentral:rRNA from 1 species
CAGCAGCCACGGUAAUACGUAGGGUGCAAGCGUUAAUCGGAAUUACUGGGCGUAAAGCGUGCGCAGGCGGUUUGUUAAGACAGAUGUGAAAUCCCCGGGCUCAACCUGGGAACUGCAUUUGUGACUGGCAAGCUAGAGUAUGGCAGAGGGGGGUGGAAUUCCGCGUGUAGCAGUGAAAUGCGUAGAUAUGCGGAGGAACACCGAUGGCGAAGGCAGCCCCCUGGGCCAAUACUGACGCUCAUGCACGAAAGCGUGGGGAGCAAACAGGAUUAGAUACCCCCGUAGUCCCUGUCUCUUAUAC